GACUAAGCUGUCUCUUACGGACAUUCAAUGAAACUGAUCUUUCAGUCCAAAAGCUGAAAUAUAGACACCAGACGAGAAGACCCUGUGGAGCUUCCAAACCAAUACCAACGCCUAUGGUUAUACGGUUUUUAGUUGGGGCGACUUCGGAGAACAAAAAAACCUCCAACUAGGAAACUUUCCUGAUUAAGAUCUACACAUCUAAAUAUUUAACUUGACCCAGUAGGCAUUACCCCCAUCUGAUCAAGGAACCAAGUUACCCCAGGGAUAACAGCGCUAUCCUCUUCUAGAGUCCCUAUCGACAAGAGGGCUUACGACCUCGAUGU
rnacentral:rRNA from 1 species